GACGAACGCUGGCGGCGCGCUUAACACAUGCAAGUCGAACGGAAAGGCCUGCUUUCCCUUGUGGAUUGCGGGUACUCGAGUGGCGAACGGGUGAGUAACACGUGAGUGAUCUGCCCCCAACUUGGGUAUAAGCCUGGGAGACUGGGUCUAAUUCCCGAUAGGACUGCAGGGUGGUGCCUGUGGUGGAAAACGAUUUUCUAGUGGUUGGGGAUGAGCUCGCGGCCUAUCAGCUUGUUGGUGGGGUAAUGGCCUACCAAGGCGGCGACGGGUAGCCGGCCUGAGAGGGUGGACGGCCACAUUGGGACUGAGAUACGGCCCAGACGCCUACGGGAGGCAGCAGUGGGGAAUAUUGCACAAUGGGCGGAAGCCUGAUGCAGCGACGCCGCGUGGGGGAUGACGGCCUUCGGGUUGUAAACUCCUUUCGACCGCGAGGAAGCCACCUGGUUGGAAGGGUGGUGACGGUAGUGGUAGAAGAAGCACCGGCUAACUACGUG
rnacentral:rRNA from 1 species